AUAUCUUUAAUCAGGUUACUUAAACAUUCUGGGGAAAGCUAUUUUAGAUCUUCUCAUGAGCAGGAAAAGGGGAGAUAAAUUAUAGUUUCCUUGCUAAUGAAGUCAUCCUAAGUUAAAUGUGUUUGGUUUUAAUGGAAAUUAUCUCUGUGUGUUUAAUUCUUUAGAAUAGUAAAUAUUUUAAAUAUUUACUUUGCAAACUGCAAAAAUAUUUAUUGUAUUUCCUUAGAUGUAGAGAUCAUUGCCUAAAAGGGUCCUUCUCAGUUUAAUGCUCAUUGCCCCUCGAAGAAAAUAAACAAAAGUCUGAAUAUAAAGAACACAUUGAAGCAAUAAGUUAGUAUAUCUGGCUGUCAGGUUUAUUAUCAACUACCAAGAAUAACAUGAGAAAAAAAGAUA
rnacentral:lncRNA from 1 species